CCCAGCUUGCUGGGUGGAUUAGUGGCGAACGGGUGAGUAACACGUGGGUGAUCUGCCCUGCACUUCGGGAUAAGCCUGGGAAACUGGGUCUAAUACCGGAUAGGACCUCGGGAUGCAUGUUCCGGGGUGGAAAGGUUUUCCGGUGCAGGAUGGGCCCGCGGCCUAUCAGCUUGUUGGUGGGGUAACGGCCCACCAAGGCGACGACGGGUAGCCGGCCUGAGAGGGCGACCGGCCACACUGGGACUGAGACACGGCCCAGACUCCUACGGGAGGCAGCAGUGGGGAAUAUUGCACAAUGGGCGCAAGCCUGAUGCAGCGACGCCGCGUGAGGGAUGACGGCCUUCGGGUUGUAAACCUCUUUCAGUACCGACGAAGCGCGAGUGACGGUAGGUACAGAAGAUGCACCGGCCAACUACGUGCCAGCAGCCGCGGUAAUACGUAGGGUGCGAGCGUUGUCCGGAAUUACUGGGCGUAAAGAGCUCGUAGGCGGUUUGUCGCGUCGUCUGUGAAAACCCGCAGCUCAACUGCGGGCUUGCAGGCGAUACGGGCAGACUUGAGUACUGCAGGGGAGACUGGAAUUCCUGGUGUAGCGGUGAAAUGCGCAGAUAUCAGGAGGAACACCGGUGGCGAAGGCGGGUCUCUGGGCAGUAACUGACGCUGAGGAGCGAAAGCGUGGGUAGCGAACAGGAUUAGAUACCCUGGUAGUCCACGCCGUAAACGGUGGGCGCUA
rnacentral:rRNA from 1 species